GAGUGUCACAGAACACGUAAUUACGGAACCGUGAACAGCCAUAUGUCAUGAGAAAGAGCAUAAAUUAAAAUAAAAAUAAGAAAUAAAUGUUGAGAAGGAAUUUAAUAUAUUUGUAAUUUUUAUAUGUAAAUGCAGAAAUAUUUGCAGUCUAGCAAUAAUCUGUAUAUUUAUUUAAUAAAUUGUAUUUGAAGAACGUUAUGCGAUUUGUACAGUUAUCUGAUUUUGGAUCUGAUAACGUGCGGAAGAAACGCAUUAAAUGUGUUCACUAUGUG